AUGCUGAUAUAUGAGUGUACAUGGCUCAUCUGCGGGCGCCGGGAUAUCAGUCAUUUGUUCAGUUCUGGUUAUCGUCAUUCUAUCCGUCUCCUUUUCUUUAAGAUGCACUCUCAGGAGACCCAUCUCUGUGAUUGUCUGGGGGAAGAUGCAGCUGAAACCUUCUGCAUCACUUCCCACUCGAAGAUUUGCUCACUCCUGGAACAGAAUUUUCUUUGGACGGCUGUCCUGGCAAUGGUGACUUAUUCCCCUACUCCACCCACCACUGGUCUUUGUCGCAAGCCUGAGAAAAUGUAGCUGUGCACCUGGGAGUCUGCAGCCAGGACCAGGUAACUGCCUCUAGUUACUUUCUUCUAAAAGGGGUUUACUACUUACAAUGCUUCUUGGAUUGCUCAUGCUUUUAUUUUGCAUUACUAUUUAUGAAAACCUUUGGGCCACAUGUAUAUUGGAUUUAUCCAAGGACUCACAACUUGGCUGUGAAGAGUGAAGAAUGGAAUCUCAACUCACUAUCAACAAUCUCAUAGUUUAUUUUGGUCAGUGUAGCUUUACCACUUUCAAACCACUAGGUUCCAUUUAAAGAUCUGUCUUACUUGAAGCACAUACUUUUAAUAUCAUUCUUUUAAUAUCUUUUAAUAGAGCAUAUUCUUUUAAUAUCUAUUUAAGUAUUUGAUUAAUUAUAAUAAUGAAAGGAUUUUCUAGUUUAGAUAUCUUAUUCAUUUUCUUAGAACCCUAACCAAUAAAAUAAAUCUGGAG
rnacentral:lncRNA from 1 species